UACAGAGGUCCCAAGCGUUGUUCGGAUUCAUUGGGCGUAAAGGGUGCGUAGGCGGCGCGGUAAGUCGGGUGUGAAAUCUUGGAGCUUAACUCCGAAACUGCAUUCGAUACUGCCGUGCUUGAGGACUGGAGAGGAGACUGGAAUUUACGGUGUAGCGGUGAAAUGCGCAGAUAUCAGGAGGAACACCGGUGGCGAAGGCGGGUCUCUGGGCCGAUACUGACGCUGAGGAGCGAAAGCGUGGGGAGCGAACAGG
rnacentral:rRNA from 1 species